rnacentral:rRNA from 1 species
UGACGAGUGGCGGACGGGUGAGUAAUGCUUGGGAAUUUGCCUUUGCGCGGGGGAUAACCAUUGGAAACGAUGGCUAAUACCGCAUAAUGACUGAGGUCCAGAGGGGGCUACUUGUAGCUCUCACGUGAAGAGAAGCCCAAGUGAGAUUAGCUAGUUGGUGAGGUAAAGGCUCACCAAGGCGACGAUCUCUAGCUGUUCUGAGAGGAAGAUCAGCCACACUGGGACUGAGACACGGCCCAGACUCCUACGGGAGGCAGCAGUGGGGAAUAUUGCGCAAUGGGGGCAACCCUGACGCAGCCAUGCCGCGUGUGUGAAGAAGGCCUUCGGGUUGUAAAGCACUUUCAGUUAUGAGGAAAGGUGUGUAGUUAAUACCUGCAUACUGUGACGUUAAUAACAGAAGAAGCACCGGCUAACUCCGUGCCAGCAGCCGCGGUAAUACGGAGGGUGCGAGCGUUAAUCGGAAUUACUGGGCGUAAAGCGCACGCAGGCGGUUAAUUAAGCUAGAAGUGAAAGCCCUGCGCUCAACGUGGGAAGGCCUUUUAGAACUGGUUAACUAGAGUAUUGGAGAGGGGAGUGGAAUUCCAGGUGUAGCGGUGAAAUGCGUAGAUAUCUGGAGGAACACCGGUGGCGAAGGCGACUCUCUGGCCAAAUACUGACGCUCAUGUGCGAAAGUGUGGGUAGCGAACAGGAUUAGAUACCCUGGUAGUCCACACCGUAAACGAUGUCUACUAGCUGUGUGCGAAUGUAUAUUUGUGCGUAGCGCAGCCAACGCGAUAAGUAGACCGCCUGGGGAGUACGGCCGCAAGGUUAAGACUCAAAUGAAUUGACGGGGGCCCGCACAAGCGGUGGAGCAUGUGGUUUAAUUCGAUGCAACGCGAAGAACCUUACCUACACUUGACAUACCA